AGUCGAACGGUGGUAGCAAUACCAUAGUGGCGCACGGGUGCGUAACACGUAACUAACCUACCCAGAACUGGGGGAUAGCCCGCCGAAAGGCGGAUUAAUACCGCAUAACACUUGAGACUGGCAUCAGUUUUUAGUUAAAGAUUUAUUGGUUUUGGAUGGGGUUGCGGGUCAUUAGCUAGUUGGUAAGGUAACGGCUUACCAAGGCGACGAUGACUAGGGGAGCUGAGAGGCUGGUCCCCCACACGGGCACUGAGAUACGGGCCCGACUCCUACGGGAGGCAGCAGUAGGGAAUAUUGGGCAAUGGACGAGAGUCUGACCCAGCCAUGCCGCGUGCAGGAAGAAGGCUUUCUGAGUCGUAAACUGCUUUUGACAGGGAAGAAUAAGCUGUACGUGUACAGUGAUGACGGUACCUGCAGAAUAAGCACCGGCUAACUCCGUGCCAGCAGCCGCGGUAAUACGGAGGGUGCGAGCGUUGUCCGGAUUUAUUGGGUUUAAAGGGUGCGUAGGCGGCCUUGUAAGUCCGGGGUGAAAGCCCGUUGCUCAACAACGGAACUGCCCUGGAUACUGCAAGGCUUGAGUACAGACGAGGUUGGCGGAAUGGACCGAGUAGCGGUGAAAUGCAUAGAUACGGUCCAGAACCCCGAUUGCGAAGGCAGCUGACUAGGCUGUUACUGACGCUGAGGCACGACAGCGUGGGGAGCGAACAGGAUUAGAUACCCUGGUAGUCCACGCCGUAAACGAUGGAUACUCGCUGCGAGCUAAAGAUUGUUCGUGGCUUAGGGAAACCGAUAAGUAUCCCACCUGGGGAGUACGCCGGCAACGGUGAAACUCAAAGGAAUUGAC
rnacentral:rRNA from 1 species